AAUAACGACGACGCUCAGUCAAACUGAGUUCGUCACUGUCACAGCUGGUCACAGGUCAUCUGUAAGAGGCUGAGAAAACGGCAAUUAGAAUAAAGCAGAAGAUUCGUUCGCAAUAGAGCGUCGCUCGAAACGGUUUAAUCAUUCGUGACAUUGCCUCUGUCAUUCAUUAUAGGUUCUAUGACGUUUUACGUGGAGUGAAAGACAUUCACACACUGUACUGGGAAAAUUUUGAGUGUCAUUUUACGUUAAUAAUAUUGUAUGAAGGAGAGUUUACCGUGAGUCUAUUAAUCUACUUGCACAAGUCGAUCGAGUUCAAAAUGGAUAAAGUGAAGAUCGGUAAUUCGGAAUUGGAGAUACCUCCGCUACGCAGCCUAGAUGAUUUUCUGCUGGAAUCAGCACGUUUUCAAAUACCUAAUGUGAAAGAUCUAGACAAAUGGGGAAACAGAGUGGUCAACAAUUUGCUUUAUUAUCAAACCAAUUAUUUCUUCAUGUCUGCUUGUAUUUUUCUUGUAGUUGGAUUAAUUCAUCCAGGAAAGAUGCUUGUUGGUAUUCUAGCGACAGUUAUCAUUCUGGGAGUGUUUGCUUAUGUGUCUACCGAAGGAAGAACAAUACACAAUUUUAAGAAGCGAUAUCCAGUUGCUGGUGUCAUUUUCAUUCUUAUUGGUGCAUGUUUUGUCACCUAUACAGUAGGUUCUCUUCUAGUUUUUCUGACUGGAAUUUUAUUGCCCUUCUCAGUAACAUUUUUACAUGCAUCGAUGAGGCUGCGCAAUAUCAAAAAUAAACUUGUCAACAAGAUUGAGGGUAUUGGGCUAAAACGUACGCCGAUGGGACUAGUUUUGGAAUAUCUUGGUAUGGACCAAGAACUGUUUGCUUAAACUUCUGUAUACGUAAGAGUGGACGUUUGCUUUUUCCCCCUUGUACUUUAAGUAUAUAUUGAGACGAUGCUCCAUGUUAAAGUUUAAAUUUAUUAAAAAUCGUUACGCUUGUAUCAAUCUUAAUACAGCCAAAGUUAUAAAGUAGUUGGUUUCUUGAGCUAUACAUUUAACAAAUAUAUUCUACUUUCAUUUGCGUUAUUUGAAUUUAAAGGGUUGCUGUUAUCCAUUCACAAAGAUCCUAACGCGAUUAACUUGUUUAAUAAAAUCUUAUAUCGUACAUUAGGCGCGCUUUGUAAAUAAUUAGUGAAAGGUAACAGCAGUGCAUCCAAUAAGUAACAGGAUGAUCGAUAGAAUGAAGGCAAGGCAUUAUAUAUCCGUCAUUAUUGUAUUUAACUUAUCUUAAAUAUCCUAUUACAUAUUAGUUGUGUCUACGCGAAUUUAAAGGUACAUUUUUUAGAUGAAAUAUGUUUGUAAAUUAUUCAUAUAGAGUCAUUACAAAAGCAGAUUUUGUUGCUAUGAAAUAUUGUCUUUUGGAAACAGUAAAACAUCGAAAGAUAAAACUAUUGAGGUGCAGUAUCAAGACGGCUAUUACUUGUUUCUGUUUGGCUAAUACCUAUCCCCAGGUCCUUCGUCGAAAGAUCUUAUGUAAUUAAAGAAUGUGUCAUCUAUCUGUGUGAAUUUGUUAUUUUCGGUGCCAAUUAUAUUAUUGCAUGGAAUCGUCAAUUCACAUAAUCGUUCUCUGGCCGGAAAAUUAAAUAAUCGAACGCCAUUUCUUCGUGUGUUUUUUCACACGCGCACGCGCGCACACAAUUUUUUGAUCAGAUAACAUUACGGUAAAGUGACGAUUUGAUGCAAUGAUCUGGCACCCGUUAUUGUCACUCUGUUCUGGUACUAUGUAGGAGAUAUAGCGGAAGGUAGAAAAGAUCUGCGGCAUUUUAUUGUAAAAUAUGAUGUGACUGGUUUGACUGUACGUGCGCAGAGUUCUAUCAUGGAAAAGUAUAAUACCUACUAAGGAGGAAGGUGCUUCUUUCCUGCAACAUGUGAUCAGUGUGUAAGAAGUAAGAAAUGGAGUUUGAAAAUUUGACUUUAUGUCGAUAAUCGCGACAAGAAUUAAUUGUCUUGAAAAUGGUAGGUGUAAUAUUGUCUGUUAGGCUAUUUUUCUAGCUGAAUGAUGUUACACUUUUUGCAAAUAAUACUUUGUACCACGCGGAAUCGAUACAAGCUCAGCUCGCCAGAUUUUGAAAAGUAAAGACUAUUAUUCUUUUAUGAUUUCUGCGUACGAAUUUUGAGAAGCUAAUUUGUAGUUCAUCUCACAUUUCUUGACGAAUAUAGUCGCAAUAUUUCAAUGAUUGUUUUAUACAUAAUUUAGGGAUUUACUUAUUGUAUCGACUAGUCUGAACUUAUAUCUUCAGCGGCAGGUAUAACAGAAUAAUUUUAUUAUAUUAUCAAUAAACAUGUUUUACCAUAUGCUCA